rnacentral:sRNA from 1 species
UCUCAUCACUGUCACUCAUCUUCGCAGUGAAUUUCAAAUUUGGCGCGUGCCACC